UUUCUCCACUGUUUUCGUCUUCCCCCUUUCUUCUCACAAAAAUCUCUCCGAAGAACCCUAAUCCUCCCUUCUGAAUCCUAACCCCCUUUCUUCUGAUUUCCCUACGAGAAUCUUAACUCACGAAAAUCUCUCCGAAGAACCCUAAUCCUCCCUUCUGAAUCCAAAUCCCCUUUCUUCUGAUUUCGCUACGAGAAUCUUAACUCACAAAAAUCUCUCAGAAGAACCCUAAUUCUCCCUUCUGAAUCCUAACCCCCUUUCUUCUAAUUUCGCUACGAGAAUCUUAACUCACGAAAAUCUUAACUAAUCCAUUAUUCAAGCUUCUUCUAUCGUAGUUUUUCUUCUCCAUUGAAUCACGUUUUUCAGGUUGAAGUGCUGGGAUUAAUGUUGCAGAACUUGGACAUGGAAUUGAUGUUGUUAGUUUAGUUAAAGGGGCUGGUAAGUAUAAAUUAUUCUGUAUGCUAAUUCAUGAACCACUGCUGGACUGUGAUAAUUUAGGGUGAGCAAUUAGGAUACUCAUCAUCACUGCUGGACUGUGAUAAUUUAGGGUGAGCAAUUAGGAUACUCAUCAUUGAAGUGUUGCAUAGAAUGAGACUGUUUUUGUGCAAAUGUAUGUAUGCUUUUGGUCAUGUACUUGAAUUUGAAUGAAUAGGUUAAGAUAAUGUAUGUACAGUGAGUGAAUGUGUAUUUGCAGAUUUUUUGGUGUUGAAUUAGUUUGAAAUGAAUGACUUAGAGGGUUAGUAAACUGCGGACCGUUAAGGAAUUGAAAAACAGUUAGAGGGCUGGCUAUUAAAUGAAGUUAGAUUAGUAGGAGAAAGCCAGUUAGCAACUGUUAGUGUAGAAAUUAAUUGGAAUGAGGUUAACUAUGAAUUGAUUAUACAAAUAGUUAAUGUUGGAUUAUGAUUGAUGUGUAUGGUUUUGAAAUGUAUGCUGCACUGGUUUUUUUUCUGGUAGUGUAAAUGCAGACCAUGAUUGAAUGCUAGGUUGUUAAUCUUAGAUAGCGGCGCGUAGCGCCAGACCUCCCAAAUGCUAUUGCGGCAUAGCAGAUAGCGGCGCGUAGCACUAUUGCCAGGGUGCACUAGUUGGUUCAUACAAGGGUAACUGUCAUUUAUAUAAUACAUCCGAAAAUAAGUUGCAACAGAAAAGUCAGAUCAAUUUGCAGAACAAAAAAAAGAAAUCAAAUCACAAGAAAAUUACUGGUUUCUAGGUAAUUUAAUGAUUUAAUGCCUUACUAUUGUACCUAAGUUAUGAUGCUCUUAUGAUUGUCUUUGUAUUUGGAUUUUAUGAACAGUUUGCCCCCUGGUAGUUCAUCGGAAGUACUUAUCACUUCUGCUGAUUCUCGAAUUCGGGUUGUUGAUGGUAUUGAUCUGGUUCAUAAGUUUAAAGGUGCGUAGCACUAGCUAAGGUCAAGUCAUAUUUAUUUAAAUAAAUUGCUUUCAUUUGCAUGAUAAAUAGUGUUUGAUUAUAUGGUCAAAGCAUUGCUUUUACAACUGUUUUGGUGGUGCAUGCUUGCUACCUCUGCAGGUCUAUAGUAUAUAUUUAUUGCGGCAUAGCAGAUAGCUUUGUUUUGUUUCCAUUAGAUUUAAACUAGUACAUACUUCUAAAAGAAUUUAAAAAUCCGUCCAUGGUCCUUUACCGCAAAAAUGAUCGCGGGAUUGAAUGAUACAUCCAUUUACCGUUUUUUUGAUAAAGAACAAUGCGUAGUUAAUUCAUAUCGCAACAAUUUUACGUGACCUCAAAAUGGCAAAAGGAUGAGGCUAUAUGCAUCAUUGUAUUUCCAUAGUUACACUAAAUCUCAAACAUUUGUUUAAAACUAGUUGACAUGUUUAUUUCUAUAUUUAGGAACUAAUAUUUCUAAAUAUAACGAUAUGUUCAUGUUCACUUCAUAUCAAAUCAAAUAUUAAUUGAAUCAAGUAAGAAGAGUGAACUAAAGAAAAAACUUGUCUUAUUAUAUGGGAUACUUGAAUUGAAUUGAAUUGGUGAUUUUUAGAAAACAGGUCUACUUGUAAGAGUUAAGACACAUCCUUUUGUAGGUCUCUUUGAAUAAACAUAUCCUAUAAUUGAAAAAUGGUCAUAUGCAUAAUUAAACAUGAUAUCUAAAAUAGAUGACACUUUCACCCUUUUCCAAUUUCAUCAACUUUACACUUUCACCUUCUAAUUCAAAGACUGAUUUUAGAGUAAAUAUCUACUUUUAUUAUAACAAUUUAUAAAAUUUAAUUUUGGAUUAACAUGUUUCAAAUUUGCGAUUUUUACAUGUUGAGGUUUAUGAAAUAAAUUCUUCUUAUCGAUCGAAUAGAGAUUCCACCUAAGUACUUUGAUGAAUUCAAGUGUGCUUAUUACUCAAGUUUUCAGUUGGAUGAACUUAAGGAGGAUUGGUGUAAAUUCAUGAUUGAGUCGAAAGUUAUAUAAGGUUAUAUGUCCAGAUGUAGAAGAUAGAGAUGAAUAGAUUCUGUAAUGGUAUAAUGGUGCAAACAAAAUUUGGCAUAUCUUUUGGUGUUGUUUUUUGUAAUGGUAUAAUGGUGCAAACAAAAUGUGGCAUAUCUUUUGGUGUUGUUUUUUUUGUAAAAGUAUAUGUACAAGAGUAAUAGUAUAUAUAAAUACAU